AUGCAUAGACGAUAUAUAUGUUACAUGCUUGCUUCUUGGAAAUGGUCGUCUCUAAUGGCACUACGUCAUUGGAGUUUGUUAAGAAUACUACCUCAUCUUCGUUUUGAAAUAUUUGUUGAUAAAUCGCAAGACCUGAGCUGCGAAUUUCCACCACCAAUUUACACACAUUCUACCUUCCUUAUUGUUAACCAUUAUUUCUUCACUGUAGAACAGUUCGUGUUAGACCAUCGACUUGGUGUUUCUGUUAGAUAUUUGCUGAAAGUCGCAAGAUUUGACCAGUCAACGUUCUACAAGUUCUACUUGUUAGUAGUUGAUUAA
rnacentral:rRNA from 1 species